rnacentral:rRNA from 1 species
UGGGGAAUAUUGGACACUGGGCGAAAGCCUGAUCCAGCCAUGCCGCGUGUGUGAAGAAGGUCUUCGGAUUGUAAAGCACUUUAAGUUGGGAGGAAGGGCAUUAACCUAAUACGUUAGUGUUUUGACGUUACCGACAGAAUAAGCACCGGCUAACUCUGUGCCAGCAGCCGCGGUAAUACAGAGGGUGCAAGCGUUAAUCGGAAUUACUGGGCGUAAAGCGCGCGUAGGUGGUUUGUUAAGUUGGAUGUGAAAUCCCCGGGCGCAACCUGGGAACUGCAUUCAAAACUGACUGACUAGAGUAUGGUAGAGGGUGGUGGAAUUUCCUGUGUAGCGGUGAAAUGCGUAGAUAUAGGAAGGAACACCAGUGGCGAAGGCGACCACCUGGACUAAUACUGACACUGAGGUGCGAAAGCGUGGGGAGCAAACA